rnacentral:rRNA from 1 species
AGGGAAACUUCAGCUAAUACCGCAUAUGGUCUACGGAUCAAGCCUUCGGGCGCCUGGAGAUGAGCCUGCGGCCCAUUAUUUAAUCCUAGUUGGCGGGGUAAUGGCCCACCAAGGGUACGAUGGGUAGCUGGUCUGAGAGGAUGAUCAGCCACACUGGAACUGAGACACGGUCCAGACUCCUACGGGAGGCAGCAGUGGGGAAUAUUGCGCAAUGGGGGAAACCCUGACGCAGCCAGCCCGCGUGGGUGAUGAAGGCCUUCGGGGUCGUAAAGCCCUGUCGGUGGGGAAGAAACCAUGACGGUACCCGCCAAGAAAGCACCGGCUAACUCCGUGCCAGCAGCCGCGGUAAUACGGAGGGUGCAAGCGUUGCUCGGAAUUACUGGGCGUAAAGCGGACGCAGGCGGCUUGUCAGGUCGAGCGUGAAAGCCCGGGGCUCAACCCCGGAACUGCGCUCGAAACCGGCUCGCUCGAGUUCGGGAGAGGAGAGCGGAAUUCCUGGUGUAGAGGUGAAAUUCGUAG